rnacentral:rRNA from 1 species
GGAGUUAGCCGGUGCUUCUUCUGUGAGUGAUGUCCUUCCUGCCGGCUAUUAACCCGCAGGCCUUCUUCCUCACUGAAAGUGCUUUACAACCCGAAGGCCUUCUUCACACACGCGGCAUGGCUGGAUCAGGGUUGCCCCCAUUGUCCAAUAUUCCCCACUGCUGCCUCCCGUAGGAGUCUGGGCCGUGUCUCAGUCCCAGUGUGGCUGAUCAUCCUCUCAGACCAGCUACGGAUCGUCGCCUUGGUGAGCCGUUACCUCACCAACCAGCUAAUCCGACAUAGGCUCAUCCGAUAGCGCGAGGCCCGAAGGUCCCCCGCUUUCCCCCGUAGGGCGUAUGCGGUAUUAGCCUGGGUUUCCCCAGGUUAUCCCCCACUACCGGGCAGAUUCCUAUCGCAUUACUCACCCGUCCGCCGCUCGCCACCAGGGAGCAAGCUCCCCGUGCUGCCGCUCGACUUGCAUGUGUUAGGCCUGCCGCCAGCGUUCAAUCUGAGCCAUGAUCAAACUCUGA